rnacentral:rRNA from 1 species
UACGUAGGUGACAAGCGUUGUCCGGAUUUACUGGGCGUAAAGCGCGCGCAGGCGGUCGAUCAAGUCGAGUGUGAAAGCCCCCGGCUCAACUGGGGAGGGUCAUUCGAUACUGAUCGACUCGAAGGCAGGAGAGGGUAGUGGAAUUCCCGGUGUAGUGGUGAAAUGCGUAGAUAUCGGGAGGAACACCAGUGGCGAAGGCGACUACCUGGCCUGUUCUUGACGCUGAGGCGCGAAAGCUAGGGGAGCAAACGGG